AGGUCCAGCCCUUCAAUGGCCAACACAUAAGAGAGCUUGGAGAGGACCGCCUCUGGGGUCAUGUCCACGCCGGGCAGCAGCCCCGCUUUAUACAGCACCUGAGGAGAGGGAGGCAGCAGAAUCCCUUCUCUGAUGGCUAGCACACUAGCGCCUACCUCGCCUGUGGCGUAGACCUUGGACACGGUGCCCCUCAGGCACUGGGUGGUGUUGAUGAUGAUCACGCCGCGGUCGGUGGCCUCCUUCAUCUCGGCCAGGAGGUCGGGGCGGUUGUCGGGGGCGUUCCCGGUGCCGUAGGUCUCCAGGACCACGCCCUCCAUGGGCGGCUGCAGGAACGACCUCACCUGCGCACGCGGAGCAGACGCGUCAGAGCACGCCAUACAUGGACUCCACUGAACCAGCCAGACACACGGGUUGCAUCAUGAGCCGGGCGAGGAGAAGUCAAGGCUACAUGGGGCUUUGUGUCGGUCACUCUGUCCCCUGCAAAAGCCCCUAAGAGCCCCAGAGGUUAUGUGCCCCCCUCCGAAAACCUAACUACAAGUCGGGGUGAUGGAGAUGUACCGCAAGCUUCGCCUUUCCUGCCGGGUUUGUCUGUGCAUUUAUGAUUAGUUUUCACACACGUUCCUUUGUACGACACAUCAGCUCCCCGUUAAAGAGAUCACCAGAUGUCCCUGAAUAAGGGAAUUUCUGCAGAGAAGGCUCAGAACCACAGACGCAUAAUCCUAACUGCAUCCCGAUCUCGAGACCUGCUGCGUACCUACAACUCAACACACAAGUAAAAUUUGGCCUUUUUGAUAAACCUGAACCCCAACUCCCCGCCCCUCACCAGCAUUAUGGCUCAACUCCCUCAUCCCCGUCCCUGCAUGUGACCCCAGCUCCUCUCCUAAAAGCACAUCUGCUGUUGUCUUGUGCUGCUGCCAUCCCCGUCAACGCUUGACUGGCACCGAGAGACUUCAUUACCCACCGGUAACCAUGGCAUCUGGAGGUGAAAACGCUAAACGCCAGGAACAGGGGGUGGGGGAGGCGACCAUAAACUUACAAAGACAUGAGCAGAAAGAAUGUAACUAGGCUUGUAUCGUCACUCUGAACAUAAAGUGGGACAGGUGCGACACACUGAAAAGCCCAGCAGGAAAGACCAUUUGCUAAUACAAUAGGCGGAUACACUUUGCCCCAAGCCUCUCGUACAGAAUGAAGCGCUUCGAACCCAAAGCAAACUGCUGUGGUACAGUGAGCAAUGUGACCCAAGGCAGGCAGAGAGGGAGACAUAGAGAGAGACAUAGAGAGAGAGAGAGAGAGAGAGAGAGAGAGAGAGAGAGAGAGAGAGAGAGAGAGAGAGAGAGAGAGAGAGAGACAGACAGACAGACAGACAGACAGACAGACAGACAGACAGACAGACAGACAGACAGACAGACAGACAGACAGACAGACAGACAGACAGACAGACAGAAGGAGACAUAGAGAGAGAGAGAGAGACAGACAGAAGGAGACAUAGAGAGAGAGAGAGACAGAGAGAGAAGGUCUUUUGAUGGUCGACGGGGGUAACGAGAGCAGACGGAGACAGUAAAGCAACUCUCUAUUCAUCUCAGGAUGAGAAACUAAAUAUUAUAAUGCCCGGGCCAACUGGGUUUUUAGUGGGUAAUUGGUCAUGGCCCAUAACCAAACUACAUACUUUCCUAGGGCCAGAGGACUGCUGGGGACAUCCGAGCAGAGUCAGGAAGUACUGGCAUAAGUGAAAUCAGAAAACACAAAAAUAAAUUAGAAAAAUAAAUGGAGGGAAUUAUUAUGGUGUUAGACUGGGAUCUAACAGGCCAGAUUGUGCAUGCAUCUUCUUGGAUUGUCGUACAGUUUAUCGAGCGCAGGUGACAAGCCACGCAGUAAGACAAACAUUUGGUGUCUGCUGGUCCUUCAGGAGUGUGGCAGAUAAAAACAUUUGAUUUAAAUACCCAUUUGCCAUUGCAGUAGGUGUCAGGUCGAUUUAGAGGCAUAAACACCAAACUUUACAACGGGGAAGGGCUCCUGUGGUGAGGCGAAUUAGACUGAGUGGAAACAGAGGCUGGGUGGCCUAUAUUUUAAGUAAAAAUGUAAUAUGGGACCCGGGCCGUUUACAAACACGGGUCAGACGACUAAUUACAGGGAAGGAAAAAAACGAAAUCUUUCUAGAGCAAAUAUUUGUGUAAAAAAUGGAUGCUAUUCUCAAAUUCUGUAGGAAGUUGCAGAGGAAAGGACACUACCACUACUACCAAUACCACUACCACUACUUUAGAAGACAGACGCAUGGCUAGAUGGAGGGCUUCCUUCAUGCCAUAGCCCUGUGUUGUUUGGAGCCCAUCGUCAUAACAUCGUGAAAUGUAUUCCGAUAACAGAGCAAAGCCUCUGCAGUACACAUAUAGAUGUCAAAGAAGACAAAAGCAAAAGGUAUUUUUGACUAAUUCACACGUAUUGAGAUAAUGGAAUGGCGCCAACACUGCAGACCUGAUUGAAAAUGAAUGAUGUUUGUUUUUCAAUUUACAUUUCAUAGUGCAAUCUCGUUUAACAGACAACAAAUAUUCUCACCCACUAAUGGGCUUGAAACUAAUAACAAAAUAUGAAAAGUAUUUGGAUGAUUUUCGAUGUCAUUAAUGUUGCCAAUGAAAACAAACCAGAGACAGGCUAUGAGUCAUCUCGAUUCAAUAGUUUUAUUAUGACCUUUCUGAUCUCUCUGCAUGUGAGAGAAUGAAUGACUGAAAAACUGAAUGAGUCAUUUCCAACUGAUGACCAAGAACCAUACAGACGACUUCAUGACUCUGACUCAACACCACCUGAGACAACAUACGAAACUACCUGUGGCCACGAGGUGCACACUAUGCAUCGCUCUCUCUCCAAUCCGCCCCCUCUCCCUCCCUUGUGGACUCCCUGUCCCUCCCUGUAUAUAUACCUCCAUCCCUUUCCCCCUCUAUCUUCCUCCCUUACCCUCUCUCCCUCCCUCCCUCCCUUACCCUCUCUCCCUCCCUCCCUCCCUCCGGCUUACUUACUUGCUCCCUCCCACUCCCUCCCUCCCUCCUACUUGCUCCCUCUCCCUCCCUCUUUGUAUAUCAACCUCCCUCCCUCCCUCCCUCCCUCUCUUCCCUACUUGCAGCUAUCUCCCGCCGUCUCCCCUCUUGCCUGGCUGACUUACGGUUGCCGCGGUGAUGCCAGGGAACAGCCUCAGCAGGCCCACGUUGCGGUUCAGCUCUGUUUUCACGGCGAACUUGUAGGAGCGGUUGGCUCUCCACACCGUGUCCGAGUUGACUGUGGGGGACAGAGCAUUAACUAAAUCGCCACGGUAACCACAACUGGAAAUCCAAAUGAUAAGGAAGCACCAUGACCAGCCAUUCAUUCAUCCAUCCAUCCAUUUAUUCAUUCAUUACUUGUUAUAUCCACGUCCAAGGUGGCCAGGGGGGACAGGUUAGGGGAGGUGAAGGCAUCGAAACUUCCAGCGUCCACUUUGGUGACGCGGUUUCCCCUGUACAGUUUGUUGCGGAAGUACAGGCAUACCUUGAUAGGAAGAGACGUACAGGUGAACAAUGUAUUUUGAAGAGGGAUAUGGUUUUCAUAGUGCAAUCUUUCUGAUGAGGACAGCAGCCAUGAACAAAACGUCUGUCGGGAAGGACGUUCGUUCAAGCUAAUAUAUUUUAGUUUCAUCGUUAGUGAAUUCAGCUACAUUAGUGUCAAACAUAUCAACUGUCAACUGUAAUCUCACCUGUAAAAAAGGGAGUAUAAUCAGUUAGUUUUAAUUGUCUUCCUAGUAUCUUGUUGUACUCCCUGACAGUCUUCUUCCUGUUUGAGAUAAUCACCUGCUGUUGCGAAACACACCAACGUUUACCAAACAAUCUCGUUAAACGAGAAUGUUAACAACGUUUUUGUUGCCUUUCCUCCACAUAAAACUAUUGUCAAUUACAACAAUGACAAAUUUUCUGUUUAACAAUAAAACGGGGGGGAAAAGUA